rnacentral:rRNA from 1 species
GUCGAGCGGACAGAAGGGAGCUUGCUCCCGGAUGUUAGCGGCGGACGGGUGAGUAACACGUGGGUAACCUGCCUGUAAGACUGGGAUAACUCCGGGAAACCGGAGCUAAUACCGGAUAGUUCCUUGAACCGCAUGGUUCAAGGAUGAAAGACGGUUUCGGCUGUCACUUACAGAUGGACCCGCGGCGCAUUAGCUAGUUGGUGAGGUAACGGCUCACCAAGGCGACGAUGCGUAGCCGACCUGAGAGGGUGAUCGGCCACACUGGGACUGAGACACGGCCCAGACUCCUACGGGAGGCAGCAGUAGGGAAUCUUCCGCAAUGGACGAAAGUCUGACGGAGCAACGCCGCGUGAGUGAUGAAGGUUUUCGGAUCGUAAAGCUCUGUUGUUAGGGAAGAACAAGUGCAAGAGUAACUGCUUGCACCUUGACGGUACCUAACCAGAAAGCCACGGCUAACUACGUGCCAGCAGCCGCGGUAAUACGUAGGUGGCAAGCGUUGUCCGGAAUUAUUGGGCGUAAAGGGCUCGCAGGCGGUUUCUUAAGUCUGAUGUGAAAGCCCCCGGCUCAACCGGGGAGGGUCAUUGGAAACUGGGAAACUUGAGUGCAGAAGAGGAGAGUGGAAUUCCACGUGUAGCGGUGAAAUGCGUAGAGAUGUGGAGGAACACCAGUGGCGAAGGCGACUCUCUGGUCUGUAACUGACGCUGAGGAGCGAAAGCGUGGGGAGCGAACAGGAUUAGAUACCCUGGUAGUCCACGCCGUAAACGAUGAGUGCUAAGUGUUAGGGGGUUUCCGCCCCUUAGUGCUGCAGCUAACGCAUUAAGCACUCCGCCUGGGGAGUACGGUCGCAAGACUGAAACUCAAAGGAAUUGACGGGG